GAAUGCCGAUCAGCUGACCUGAAAAGAGGGCAAAUAGCGUGCAUUAUGCAGGUGGCUCCAAUGCAAUUACAAGGGUCCUUAAAAGCUGAAGAGGGACUUGAAAGGAAGAGCUGACAAGAUGGCAAAAUGAGAAGGACACAUUUUGCUGAUGCUGCUGACUUAGAAGAUUGAGGAAUGUGUCAUGAAUCAAGGAAAACAGAGGAACUCUAGAAGUUGGAAUUUCUAGAAGCUGAAAAAUGUAAGAAAAUGAAUUCGCCCCUGGAGCCCCCAGAGAGGAAUGUAGCCCUGCUGAUACCUUGAGCUUAGCCACUGAGGUCCGUGUUGGAUUUACAACCCGCAAAACUGGAGUUACAGAAAUUAAGAAGCAUAUUGUCAUGAUAAUAACUGAAAAAGAACCAGGCACACACUCCACAACUGCAUUUUCUCCUUUACGUUCUGGACGUUAGAGUCUGGGGAUUUAUCUGCGGGGAAGUUCUGAGUGGUGCCUGGCUAAGUGACUUGCAGAUGACUGUGCAACUGUUGCUGAUCUAGAGGGAGGAGCUGCAAGCAGCAGUUAGCCAGUUAGCACAUUGUAUAGAAACUAGUGGACUGGCCUAUUGCAGCUGCUUUUUGAAGCUACCCCUGCGGACAUAGAGGCAGUUGAUGGAUAAAAAGUAGGUCUCCAUGGGCAAUGAAACUGCUCACCAAGGGAAGGACUUCAAUCUAAACCUGAUAAAUAAAACUCUUGUUUUUCUUCUCACGCUUCCUCCCUGGCCAAUGCGUUAGAGGAGCUAGCCACUAAAAAUGGGGAAAAUUAGAGAGGUGUGUGGCCCUCAGUUUCUGGAGCCACACACACCUCUACCUAGGCUGGAGGAAAGGAGAACUUUGAGUUAAGCUUGAGAUGAAAGAUUUUUUUUAAUUCCUUAUGAUGAUAAAUGGGACAGAAUUUAGAUAUUGAACUCAGUCCAUUCCAUUAACCAAAUGUGGGAGCAGAGCUAUGAAAUAUAAAAUAGCAUUACGGAGAAUUUUAUACAGUACAGAUUAAAACAGAGUUGGAGAAAAUUACAGCAUCCAUGACAACCAAACGGAUUUUUGUUUAUAUUCUAGUUAGGAUCACCAACCAUCUCAGUUUGCCUGUGGUUGUCUCUAUUUUAACAUGGAUUUCCUGUGUCCUGGGAAACCCUUAAGUCCUCGGUAAACCAGGUCAGCUGGUCACUCUGAUUCCAGUGAGUUGAAAUUCCUUAAUAAACUAUUUACAUAUGUUUUUCACCUCCCAUUUCAACAUUAUUUUUCUCCAUUUUUUUUCUCCUUCUCUCCCUGUUUUUCCUUUUAUGUUUUCUUGCUCAACACCUAUCAUUAGUCAAACAAGCAUCACGACUUCACUAAACAUGCUGUUGUUCCCUGACUUGAUGCCAUUGUAUAUUUACUUGGUGCUUCCUUUGCCUAGAGUGACCCCUUUCAAACAUGCUAUUGGUCUGUCAACCAUCUCCUCUUUCAAAACUUAGCUUAAAAACAACUUCUCUAUGAAAACUUUCCUAUCUCCCUAACGCCAGGUAGAACAGAUAGUUCUUUCUGUGUAUCCUGCGCAGACUUUGAUUUCAAGAGAUGUGACCUACUAUCGUCCUUUUUGUUUUUACAUGUCUAGAUCCCUCUCAUCCAGUGCCUCUCAAAUUAGGAUCUGUGGUCUAACCCCUGAAAUCGGCAAAUGUAUUUUUAAAACAGUCUAUUUUCUUUGCAAAAAUAAAAUAAAUAAGUAUUUUUACCUAUUUAAGGUCAAACUUUUCUCUUGCUGUAAUAAUUU
ensembl:lncRNA